UAUUUUUCUAACCAAACUGCUGGGUUAAGGCUGAAUUUUUAGAGGUUGGGUCAAUUUAACACAUCAUUGGGUUAAAAAUUCUGACCCAGCGUAUUGGGUUAAAAAAGGCGGGAAAUAGUAAGAUCCUCCCCCUUGUCUGUGAGCCCACUUCACCAUUUUAAACCAGAGGAUGACACGGACAUUAAUGGAGCUUCACACCAGCAAGGAUUUAAAAUAAGAUAAAUGGGUGGAUGUGGCUUUGCUGUUGCUGCCAGUGCUUCUCCAAACGGCACCAUACAAGUUGAAGGAGAGCAUUCCGACCAAGCAGAGGUUCAGCAGGCCUUCACUGACUUCCAACCUACUGGAACCAGCCGGUGAAGAACCUGAAUGGGACCACAGUGGAGCACCACAUGUCCUUAUGGCUGCAGAAGACCAUCGAUGUUCCCAAGAAUUUGUGAUCAUCAGUGGAACUGGAAUACCCAUCUGUUCUUAAACAUUUUUGUGUUGAUGUCAACUCUCCAAAACCACGCGCACAGAUUUUGGGGUUUAAUCAGACAUUUAUCUUUGCAUCAUGAAUCAAAUGCUGUGAAGCUCUGAGGGCUCAUGUUGCUAUGAUGUAAGGUUGAUGUUCUGCUGACUAAAGCAUUAAGGUGAGUGUUGGGUGUUGAUGGACAUUUACUUCACUACAGUUCUUCCAUUAAAGUUGUUUAACGUGUUGAAGACAUUACAAAUUACAAAAUGUUUAAUAUUUGUCAUUAAAAAAAUGCAAUUAGUAGUCAUUUACAAAACAAGUUUGAAAAUGAAUGCAUGUUUGAGAAAGUAGAAAAUGCAACGUUAUUAUCUAUGUAUUUUGAAAAUUAACAUAAUUUUUGUGAUAAAGAUUUGACUGAGACAUGUCCAAUUUGUUUUAUUGAAUUAUUCAAUUUGUAUUUUAUUUAUUGUAUUGUAUUUACUAUAGAAUUGCGUCAUUUUAACCCAAGCUUUAGUAAUUUAAUAACCCAGAAGUUGGGUUUUAUUUUAACCCAGUUUUGGGUAGUCCUAACUAUACAGUUGGGUCAUUUUAACCCAUUGAUUGGGUAGAAAGCCUAACCCAAUAAGCUGGGUCAAACUCAUAACCCAACCCUGCUUGGUUAAAAUAACCCAGCACUGGGUCGGUCCCUUUUUGACCCAGCACCUGGGUUACAAAACAACCCAAAUUGGGUUAUUUUUAACCCAGCAGUUUUAUUUGAAUGAUCUCUGUAAAAUUUAUUUCUUCAUCAAACCCCACAAGUCUUCUCAUCAUUCUGCUCCACUGUUUCUCCCCCUUCACUUUUUCCUCUUUGCUUUCCUCUGAUAUCUAUUCCUUAUUUAUCAUUAUUUACUUCUGUUCUGGGCUUUCCAAAACCAUAAAUUAAGUUCUAACACAAAAAUGUGUUCCCUUUUUAUGUCCUCUCUCCCUGUUUUCAUUCCAACUCCGGUGUGUGUGCCUUCUGACAGAAGUCCUAACCUGCAGCUUGCCUCAACCAGGUGUAGCACUAUAAAUGAAAGGUUUGCAGCCAGGUUCCUCUCUCAGGGAUGCCUUCUGCUACAUCUUGGUUUUCUUUGGGUUCUCAGUUGACCAGACAGAUUGAGUAAAACAUGGCAAAUAAAGGAGAUGAAUAAAAAAGAAUGAGUAACAGAGAUCUGACACCAGUAAAAAGAGCGGCCAGACG